rnacentral:rRNA from 1 species
AGCAGCCGCGGUAAUUCCAGCUCCAAUAGCGUAUAUUAAAGUUGUUGCAGUUAAAAAGCUCGUAGUUGAAUUUCGGGAUCAGUACGCUGGUCAUGCCUUUGGUAUGCACUGGUGUCACUGGUUUCUCCCUUCUGAAGAACCGUGAUGUCAUUAAUUUGGUGUCGCGGGGAAUCAGGACUGUUACUUUGAAAAAAUUAGAGUGUUUAAAGCAGGCUCGCGCUUGAAUACAUUAGCAUGGAAUAAUGAAAUAGGACGUUUGACCCUAUUUUGUUGGUUUCUAGGGUCGACGUAAUGAUUAAUAGGGAUAGUUGGGGGCAUUAGUAUUCAAUUGUCAGAGGUGAAAUUCUUGGAUUUAUUGAAGACUAACUACUGCGAAAGCAUUUGCCAAGGAUGUUUUCAUUAAUCAAGACGAAAGUUAGGGGAUCGAAGACGAUCAGAUACCGUCGUAGUCUUAACCAUAAACUAUGCCGACUAGGGAUCGGAUGAUGUUAAUUUUUUAAUGACUCAUUCGGC